rnacentral:rRNA from 1 species
AUGCAACUACCUUGCUCUGAAUUAGAUAUGCAGCUUUUCAAUGCAUCAACCACUGUGCGCCUAGGAGAUGGGCAUAGUGCAAGUUUCUGGAAGUCAAAAUGGCUUCAUGGGGUUGCUCAAAAAGAACUUGCGCUCACUCUUUUCAAGUUGGAUCGCAGGAGGAACCAUACUGUCACUCGGGAACUGCAACACCAAAGAUGGAUGAAGAGGAUGGAAAGACUAUACUCCCAUGAUAAACUACAUGCUUUCCUACAGCUUUGGGAAAAUGUUCAGAAUGUUACUCUUACUGAAGAUCGAGACGCCAUCCACUGGAAUUGGACGGAGGCUAAGCAAUACACUUUCAGAUCAGCCUACUCCGCCAGUUCAUUAGCUCUAUUGCCAAUCCUGAACUUGAUUUGA